rnacentral:lncRNA from 1 species
AGAGAGGGGCUGAGUCACCAUAGUGGCAGCACCGACUCCUGCAGGAAAGGCGAGACACUGGGUCAUGGGUACUGAAGGGUGCCCUGAAUGACGUUCUGCUUUAGAGACCGAACCUGAGCCCUGAAAGUGCAUGCCUGUUCAUGGGUGAGAGACUAAAUUCAUCAUUCCUUGGCAGGUACUGAAUCCUUUCUUACGGCUGCCCUCCAAUGCCCAAUUUCCCUACAAUUGUCUGGGGUGCCUAAGCUUCUGCCCACCAAGAGGGCCAGAGCUGGCAGCGAGCAGCUGCAGAUGUCCAAAAAUGAUACUGACAUCCCAGGUCAGAAUGGUCGCCAGUUCCGAUCAAGACAGAGCCCCGUAUCUUCCAGGGACACUAGACAAGAUGCCAGGACCACGCCUCCGCUCUGCCCAGAGGCCAAAAGCAGCCCAACAAGACUGGGAGCUUCAUGAGGGCAGAGGCUGGCUGUCAUGCUCAGGGGUGCAGAGAAGAUCCUGACUUAAAAUUCCUGUGACUUGGACAUGCAGGAGAAGCCAGACGUGAAGGAUAUAAAUUGAACCAACUUGGACUGAAGAUCCCAGCCAGGAGGAUCUGCUCCCCCAGGAAGGGAACUGAUUUGUCCUCGAGGCCCCUGGGAUAGGAGAAGCCACAGCAUCCUGUUGUUUGAUCUUCUUAUCUUCAAGCAGGCAUGACUCGGUUCCAGAAAUACAAGCCAUAAGAUAGACCUCCAGACUCCUAGAGACGAUCUGAAGCUGCAGAAGCCCUCCACUGAAAGACCGGACCCACUGCCUACUCCUCCUGGCAGGUGCCCUGGACAAGGGCACAGACUUCACAGCGUUCAAGUGUGAAGGGAUUGUCCUUCUCCAGCCCUGGAUAUUAAAAGGUCUACCCCGAUGAGCCAUGGAGGGACUCUGAGUGUGUGUGUGUGUGUGUGUGUGUGUGUGUGUGUGUGUGUGUGUUGGAGGAGUUGCUUAUGGAAAAUAUUUUUCCUGCUCUUAAAAAGGGACUCCUGCCAGGCAUGGUGGCUCAUGCCUGUAAUCCAAGCAGUUUGGGAGGCCGAGGCAGGUGGAUCACCUGAGGUCAG